rnacentral:rRNA from 1 species
AAUAGCGUAUAUUAAAGUUGUUGCGGUUAAAAAGCUCGUAGUUGGAGUUCUGCCAGGUGCCGCCUGUCCGCCCCAGUGGUGAGUACGUGGCGCGCAUUUGGCCCUUUCAAGGGGAGCGUAUCUGCACUUUAUUGCGUGGUGCGGGAUCCUUGACUUUUACUUUGAGGAAAUAGGAGUGUUCCAAGCAGGCUCUCGUCGUGCACAGCUCAGCAUGGAAUAAUAGCAUUGGACCUCGAUUCUAAGCUGUUGGUUGCCAGAAGCGAGGUAAUGAUGAAGAGGGAUAGUUGGGGGCAUUCGUAUUUAACUGUCAGAGGUGAAAUUCUUGGAUUUGUUAAAGACGGGCUACUGCGAAAGCAUUUGCCAAGGAUGUUUUCAUUGA